UCUCAUUUCAUUCUCAUUCUUCCCUAAACACAAACCCCAACUGCCCCUUCUCUCCUCAUCUCAAUCCACAUUUUUUUCUUUGAUAUCUCUAUCAAUCGAUGGUGGUAGUGCUACAAAGGUUUGCGCAGUGGUGGAUGUGCCGAGGCGGCGAGUGGCGUGAAGAUGGUGUGGCGCAAUGGUGGGUGACGCGAAGGGGCAGCUUCGCAAUGGAGGGUGUGCUGCGUCGAUAGAAAAAGUUACAAAUAGGUCUCAUUUUUUGUUUAUUGACUUGAUAAUCUUGUUUUUUAAUCAAUUUGUUAGAUUUGUUUUGGUAGACUUUUAGAUAUGGGUUUCAUAAAGGUUAACUAAUUUUUUUUCAUCUAUUUUCUAUGUUUUUAAUUCUUGUUUUUAUUUUUCUUUAUUCUAUGAUUUGUGCCCCUUUAAUCCGCCCUGAUGCCCACCCUGCGAUGGUUGGAUCAAAACCGAUUUUAACUUUUCUUUUUCUAUGAUUUCAAGAUCACCUAUCCUUUUCUCGAUUCUUCAAAGUUUGUUUUCACUUUGAUUUCAAGAUCACUUUGUCGUAGCGGGGAGGUUCGAUGAUACGAGUUACAACAAGGAGCAAAUGUGCAUUAUAAAACUUUGUGGUUUGAGAUUUUAUUAAUUUUAAUUGUGAUUGUUUUGUUUUACCCUUAUAAAACUCAACCAAGCUUUUAAACUCCUAAUUCAUCGCCUUAGUUUGAUUUAAGGUAAUUUUGGAUUUGUGAGUGGUAUUUGAUUGAGUUGGGUAAUAAUCUUUACCCUAAAUCUUUAUAGAUUCCUUUAAGAUUUGGAGAUUAAUCACAAUAUUUGAUGAUAACUUUGGAUAUGCAAUCCGAAAUUUAGUUUUAUGUUCUUCAAUCUCAUUUUCAAGACCAAGCUUUGGUAAUUGCUUUAAUUAUUGUUCUUCUUUUUAGUAUAGAAAAUCGCAUACCACUUGUUUUAUAAUAGUGCUCACAUGAUUUUUGAAUUUAAUGUAUUGAUUUUUGUUGGUUAAAUGUCCAUUUCCAUGACUUGAGAUGAUGAUAAGUGAUAUGCGAUAAUUCAACAAGGUAAGAUUGAUUUUUUUAUUAAUAUUGAUGUUAGUGUAAGAUAUGUUCGGUAGAUUACAUGUUCUUAUUUUAUUUUGAUAACAGGAUGUUUUUGGUGCUCUAGAUGAUGCUCCAAUAAGUGAGGCUUUGUGGUCGCACAAGAUUAAGAAAAAUUAAUGGUCUACUUUUAAAACUUAUGCAGAUGGUGAUGGUGGGUGUGGACUGAUAAGCUAAGCUCGCUAUCAUGCUGCCAUUAUUCCAAUAUUUGUCCGAACUCAAACCCUCACUUGGAGCUAUCAGUUGCUAUGCCUAUGCUUCAUUCACCAAGUACAAUGCUGCUUAUGAUCAGUUUGAACAAACCUGAUUUUCCUGCCGUGUUCUAUAACUAUUAGACUAUAAACAAGAGAAGCUCAAUGAGAUAACUGCAAACUUUGUGAGUAUCUAUGUGACAAGGUUCUACUCUAAGUGUGUGGGAUUUUUCUUUGGCGAUCUUUUUUCCAAGCUUCUAUAUAUUUACGAGUUCUUAAGGGCACUAUUUGUCAUUGACUGAUAUUGACUGAUGAUUUAGCCAACGACACAGAGUCACCAAAAUGAUAAAGAUUUAUAAGCUGAAUAUAAGAACUAAACAACACAAAGAUUUAUAGUGUUUCGACCCUAGAUAUUGGUAACGAGCUACGCCCACUUAAUGUUUUUAUUGAUGUACUUUGAAACUUGCGAUCAGCAAAUUAGGGUUCACUAAGUUUCACAAGCUCCAAAAAAGGAUACCAAUCAUGUAUAAAAACACUAGUUCUCUCUGAAUACAAAUUAUUCCCCCCUCCCUAAAUGAGUUCAUCCAUCAUAUUUAUAGGCUCAAGGAUACACA